rnacentral:hammerhead_ribozyme from 1 species
AGCCGAAACGCCCGCAAGGGCGUCCACCGGAACCGCCCCACCGGUGCUGAUGAUGGCAGGGCAAG